GAUGAACGCUAGCUACAGGCUUAACACAUGCAAGUCGAGGGGUAGCAUGGUCUUAGCUUGCUAAGGCCGAUGGCGACCGGCGCACGGGUGAGUAACACGUAUCCAACCUGCCGUCUACUCUUGGACAGCCUUCUGAAAGGAAGAUUAAUACAAGAUGGCAUCAUGAGUCCGCAUGUUCACAUGAUUAAAGGUAUUCCGGUAGACGAUGGGGAUGCGUUCCAUUAGAUAGUAGGCGGGGUAACGGCCCACCUAGUCUUCGAUGGAUAGGGGUUCUGAGAGGAAGGUCCCCCACAUUGGAACUGAGACACGGUCCAAACUCCUACGGGAGGCAGCAGUGAGGAAUAUUGGUCAAUGGGCGAGAGCCUGAACCAGCCAAGUAGCGUGAAGGAUGACUGCCCUAUGGGUUGUAAACUUCUUUUAUAAAGGAAUAAAGUCGGGUAUGCAUACCCGUUUGCAUGUACUUUAUGAAUAAGGAUCGGCUAACUCCGUGCCAGCAGCCGCGGUAAUACGGAGGAUCCGAGCGUUAUCCGGAUUUAUUGGGUUUAAAGGGAGCGUAGAUGGAUGUUUAAGUCAGUUGUGAAAGUUUGCGGCUCAACCGUAAAAUUGCAGUUGAUACUGGAUAUCUUGAGUGCAGUUGAGGCAGGCGGAAUUCGUGGUGUAGCGGUGAAAUGCUUAGAUAUCACGAAGAACUCCGAUUGCGAAGGCAGCCUGCUAAGCUGCAACUGACAUUGAGGCUCGAAAGUGUGGGUAUCAAACAGGAUUAGAUACCCUGGUAGUCCACACGGUAAACGAUGAAUACUCGCUGUUUGCGAUAUACAGCAAGCGGCCAAGCGAAAGCGUUAAGUAUUCCACCUGGGGAGUACGCCGGCAACGGUGAAACUCAAAGGAAUUGACGGGGGCCCGCACAAGCGGAGGAACAUGUGGUUUAAUUCGAUGAUACGCGAGGAACCUUACCCGGGCUUAAAUUGCAGAUGAAUUACGGUGAAAGCCGUAAGCCGCAAGGCAUCUGUGAAGGUGCUGCAUGGUUGUCGUCAGCUCGUGCCGUGAGGUGUCGGCUUAAGUGCCAUAACGAGCGCAACCCUUGUUGUCAGUUACUAACAGGUUCCGCUGAGGACUCUGACAAGACUGCCAUCGUAAGAUGUGAGGAAGGUGGGGAUGACGUCAAAUCAGCACGGCCCUUACGUCCGGGGCUACACACGUGUUACAAUGGGGGGUACAGAGGGCCGCUACCACGCGAGUGGAUGCCAAUCCCAAAAACCUCUCUCAGUUCGGACUGGAGUCUGCAACCCGACUCCACGAAGCUGGAUUCGCUAGUAAUCGCGCAUCAGCCACGGCGCGGUGAAUACGUUCCCGGGCCUUGUACACACCGCCCGUCAAGCCAUGGGAGCCGGGGGUACCUGAAGUGCGUAACCGCGAGGAGCGCCCUAGGG
rnacentral:rRNA from 1 species